UGGCUUGAGAGAGAGAGGAGUGGAAAGAGUCGGCUCAGAAGAAUAGCAGCCUCUUGGCAGAAAUGGCCCCGUGCCGAUUCCCCAGCCCAGUGGCAGCAGAGAUGGAUCAGGGUAGUCUCCUACUGCGCAAGCUCUGUUACUUAUUGCAGGAGACUCAGAGGGAAAGGGAGAGCGAGAGAGUUGCAAUGUGCGGUGCAGCCAUAGAGGGAGCCUGGCUUUGGAAAUGGAAGGACUGACAUGCAUCCUAGCAAACUGAAUGCUGGUUCAGCCAUUUGUGGUCCCUCUCCACCCAUACUUCUGGCCAGAAGGCAGCCCUGAAGAAAUUUUACACUGGGACAGAAAGGAGAUUCUUCUGGUCCAAGCCACCCCUCAGAGCUCCCUCUACCCCACUCAAGCUGUUCCCACCCUGCAUCCCACCAAGAGAAGAAGCCACUCCCACCCCUCAAGAGGAGCCACUUUCACCACCACCCCUGUUCCACACAUCCCAUUCCCCUGCCAGAGCACCUGUUUUACCACCAUCUCUGGCCAAGAGGAGGAGCUGGUGACACAUCACCAUCCUGCAAACAUUCCUCCUCUUCCCCCCCCCCAACCUCUCCCAGGGGUUGUGGUGGCUUCAAGACCAACUAUGGACAUUUUGAAAUAAAAAAAAAAAAAGGCCACUGGACUUUAGGAUCUCACGCCUGCCUUGGAAACAGGGCCCUUGUUGGUGUUGUCUGGCCAGAGGAAGCUGAGAGUUGUUUUCUGACAUUCAGUUGUAAAGGUCUAUGUGCAUUUUAAGAAAAUGAAAUGAAAUAUCCCAUCUGUGUAGCUUUUUCAUUGUGUCAGAAAUCUGUGGCUGAGCUUGAGUAGUUUCUGGGAAGCAGGCAUGGUGGUGAUGGCCUAGUUGGGGGCUGUUUGCAAAGUGAAGCUUUGGCCAUGAUUGCUUGCCCCAUGCCUGACAGGCGAUGACCUAGGGCCACCCCCUAUGAGCUUCCUUUCCUUUUUAAAAAAUAUAUUAAGUUUCCAUUUUAUACUAUUAAAAUACAUUCAUAUUUUUCCACAGUUUGUUCAAAUAAACUGUCGACCUCCCUCCCUCCCAUCUCAUGGUUACCUUAAUUCUUUUUUAUAUCAUAGUAUUAUAUACUACUUCCUCUUUGCAUUUAUGUCCUUUCCAUUGUCAAAAAUGUUAACCAAUAUGUAUAAAGGUAUAUAUAAUCAA